rnacentral:tRNA from 1 species
UGGCUCAGCGGUUAAGAGCACUGAAUGCCCUUCCAGAGGUCCUGGGUUCAAUUCCCAG